rnacentral:rRNA from 1 species
AUGUUUGGUAAUGCUAGGAAGAAAAGAAGAUGGUUAAGAGAGGAGCUGGAACACCUAGAGAGAUUGGAGGAAACCGAUGUGCUAUCUCCUGAACUGUAUUGUAGAAAAGUUGAAAUUUCCGUAGAAUUACAUAAUCUCUUGAUUGAAGAGGAAGUUGCCUGGCUACAAAAGCCGCAUGAAAAUUGGUUGCUUAAAGGAGACUGUAAUACAGAUCACUUCCAUUGGAUUGUGAAUGGGAUAAGAAGAAGGAAUACUAUCGUUUCCCUUAGCUGUGGUGAUACGGUGAUAGAAGGGAAUAAGAACCUACUUAAACAUGCUACUGAGUUUUAUAAAAACUUGUUUGGUCCGGAAGAUGGGAACAUGUGCAAAAUGGACGAUCAUAUGUGGGGGGGCACAUGA